GACGUAGGGCGCGAGCGUUGUCCGGAUUUAUUGGGCGUAAAGAGCUCGUAGGCGGCUUGUCGCGUCGUCCGUGAAAACCCGAGGCUCAACUUCGGGCUUGCGGUCGAUACGGGCAGGCUAGAGUUCGGUAGGGGAGACUGGAAUUCCUGGUGUAGCGGUGAAAUGCGCAGAUAUCAGGAGGAACACCCGUGGCGAAGGCGGUUCUCUGGGACGGUACUGACGCUGAGACGCGAAAGCGUGGGGAGCGAACAGG
rnacentral:rRNA from 1 species